GACGAACGCUGGCGGCGUGCUUAACACAUGCAAGUCGAACGGUGAAGUGACUGGUUUUGCUGGUCCUGGAUGAGUGGCGAACGGGUGAGUAACACGUGAGUAACCUGCCCCCUUCUUCUGGAUAACCGCAUGAAAGUGUGGCUAAUACGGGAUAUUCUGGGUCUGUCGCAUGGUGGGCCUGGGAAAGAUUGCGCCUUUUUUGGUGUUUUUGGUGGGGGAUGGGCUCGCGGCCUAUCAGCUUGUUGGUGGGGUGAUGGCCUACCAAGGCGGUGACGGGUAGCCGGCCUGAGAGGGUGGACGGUCACACUGGGACUGAGACACGGCCCAGACUCCUACGGGAGGCAGCAGUGGGGAAUAUUGCACAAUGGGCGCAAGCCUGAUGCAGCGACGCCGCGUGAGGGAUGGAGGCCUUCGGGUUGUGAACCUCUUUCGCCAGUGAAGCAGGCCUGCCUCUUUUUGUGGGUGGGUUGACGGUAGCUGGAUAAGAAGCGCCGGCUAACUACGUG
rnacentral:rRNA from 1 species